rnacentral:rRNA from 1 species
CUGCGGGAGCCUACACAUGCAAGCCGAGCGGUAGAAGAUCUUCGGAUCUUUGAGAGCGGCGUACGGGUGCGGAACACGUGUGCAACCUGCCUUUAUCAGGGGGAUAGCCUUUCGAAAGGAAGAUUAAUACCCCAUAAUAUAAUGAGUGGCAUCACUUAUUAUUGAAAACUCCGGUGGAUAGAGAUGGGCACGCGCAAGAUUAGAUAGUUGGUAGGGUAACGGCCUACCAAGUCAGUGAUCUUUAGGGGGCCUGAGAGGGUGAUCCCCCACACUGGUACUGAGACACGGACCAGACUCCUACGGGAGGCAGCAGUGAGGAAUAUUGGACAAUGGGUGAGAGCCUGAUCCAGCCAUCCCGCGUGAAGGACGACGGCCCUAUGGGUUGUAAACUUCUUUUGUAUAGGGAUAAACCUUUCCACGUGUGGAAAGCUGAAGGUACUAUACGAAUAAGCACCGGCUAACUCCGUGCCAGCAGCCGCGGUAAU